ACAAACUUGGUCAUUUAGAGGAAGUAAAAGUCGUAACAAGGUUUCCGUAGGUGAACCUGCGGAAGGAUCAUUAACGAAACAUUUGUCGAGAGGGGUUGUAGCUGGCCCUCCCCCAGGGGGGGCAUGUGCACGCCCUGAUCGUACGAAUCUCCACCUCACACACCUGUGCACGACCUUGUGGCUUGGGAUGCUAACGGGCGAGUCCUCCCUCUUGGACUCACCCGGAUGCCCUCGCUGCAAAUUUUUCACACACACACAAAAAUGUAACGAACGUAGAUGUCUCAGCGUGUAAAAACGCGAAAUAAUACAACUUUCAGCAACGGAUCUCUUGGCUCUCGCAUCGAUGAAGAACGCAGC
rnacentral:misc_RNA from 1 species